GAUGAAGAACGUAUCGAAAUGCGAUAAGUAGUGUGAAUUGCAGAAUUCAGUGAAUCAUCGAAUCUUUGAACGCACAUUGCGCCCCAUGGUAUUCCGUGGGGCAUGCCUGUUCGAGCGUCAUUUACCCCCUCAAGCUCCGCUUGGUGUUGGGCGUCUGUCCCGCUUCGCGCGCGGACUCGCCCCAAAGGUAUUGGCAGCGGUCGUGCCAGCUUCUCGCGCAGCACAUUGCGCUUCUCGAGGCACCGGUGGGCCCGCGUCCAUCAAGCUCACCCCCCCAGUUUGACCUCGGAUCAGGUAGGGAUACCCGCUGAACUUAAGCAUAUCAAUAAGCGGAGGA
rnacentral:misc_RNA from 1 species